GAUGAACGCUAGCUACAGGCUUAACACAUGCAAGUCGAGGGGAAACGAUAUUGGAAGCUUGCUUCCGAUAGGCGUCGACCGGCGCACGGGUGAGUAACGCGUAUCCAACCUGCCCAUCACUUGGGGAUAACCUUGCGAAAGUAAGACUAAUACCCAAUGACGUCUCUAGAAGACAUCUGAAGGAGAUUAAAGAUUUAUCGGUGAUGGAUGGGGAUGCGUCUGAUUAGCUUGUUGGCGGGGUAACGGCCCACCAAGGCGACGAUCAGUAGGGGUUCUGAGAGGAAGGUCCCCCACAUUGGAACUGAGACACGGUCCAAACUCCUACGGGAGGCAGCAGUGAGGAAUAUUGGUCAAUGGGCGAGAGCCUGAACCAGCCAAGUAGCGUGCAGGAUGACGGCCCUAUGGGUUGUAAACUGCUUUUAUAAGGGAAUAAAGUGGGAGUCGUGACUCUUUUGCAUGUACCUUAUGAAUAAGGACCGGCUAAUUCCGUGCCAGCAGCCGG
rnacentral:rRNA from 1 species